CACGUAGUUGGCCGGUGCUUCUUCUGCAGGUACCGUCACUUGCGCUUCGUCCCUGCUGAAAGAGGUUUACAACCCGAAGGCCGUCAUCCCUCACGCGGCGUUGCUGGAUCAGGCUUCCGCCCAUUGUCCAAUAUUCCCCACUGCUGCCUCCCGUAGGAGUCUGGGCCGUGUCUCAGUCCCAGUGUGACCGGUCACCCUCUCAGGCCGGCUACCCGUCGAAGCCAUGGUGAGCCAUUACCUCACCAUCAAGCUGAUAGGCCGCGAGCACAUCCCUGGCCGAAAAACUUUCCACCACCAUCCCAUGCGAGAAGUGGUCGUAUCCGGUAUUAAUCACCGUUUCCGGUGGCUAUCCCAAAGCCAAGGGCAGAUUACUCACGUGUUACUCACCCGUUCGCCGCUCGAGUACCACCGAAGUGGCCUUUCCGCUCGACUUGCAUGUGUUAAGCACGCCGCCAGCGUUCGUCCUGAGCCAGGAUCGAAACUCU
rnacentral:rRNA from 1 species